rnacentral:lncRNA from 1 species
AUUUUCUCAUAUCGUCUCACAAGAGGUGAAUGCAGUGUGAGCCCAUUUUACAGAUGAGGAAAUUAAAGUAGGAGAACUUUAAUAAUUUGUUUAAACAGCCAAAAAAUAGGAUCCAAAAAGGAUUCUGAGAUUUAAACCCAGGCUUUCGGAUUCCAGCACUGGCUCAUGCCUCUUAGUCGUCAUGGAGGAGGGAGGAAGGGAAUCACUGGUUGAGAACCCUCCCCCAUUAGGUGUCAGGUACUGGGAUGUACGCAGUUACAUGUUAUCCCAUGGUAUUCCCCACAACAACAGUGACAGGUGGUUUUCCUUGUUUCCAUUUUACAGGUGAGAAAAUUGAGGCCCAGAAGUAGCUUGCCCCAAGUCACAACCCCAGAGCUAUUUGUGCCUCAUAGCCCAGAACUUGACUCACAAAGUAGUUGAGAAAAGUGUGGAAUGACCCCAGAUUCUGGAAGGCAAGCCUGGCUUUAUAAGCUGAAAUUCCCUACCAGGUGAUAGGAAGGGCGGGCAGUGAAGAUUCUCAUAUUCCAAACAUCCCCCCCCCCCCCGCCCCCGACCACCACCAUCAGACACACACCACUAUGCGGACUGGCAGAAUUACAGAGGUGAAUGCGCUGUCAGCUGGCUUGGCCACUCCAGGGGUUUAAGGCCCAUAAAAUGUAAAUAUAUGAGCUGGGAAGUGGAGAAGGUAGACUAAAUCAUUGUUCACUAGCUGGAAUGCAUUUCUCAGAUUAGCUAAGCAGUAGCGGGCCAGAGGGCUCCAAGCUGGGUGACCUGCCUUCUUGGUGGCAAGCUACGGCCAGUGGCUGGAGAGGGGGCCACUGGUACAGGAGGGUAAGGAGGGGACACUGGAGAAAGGGGAGGAAGGCCUCCCAGUACUGCAGCUCAGGGUGUGCCAGGUCCCACCCCCCAGAGGCGGGGCCAGGCUGAUCCCCGCCAGCCUCAGCUCCAUCCCUCCAGGAACCCAGGCGAGGGCAGAGCCAGGGAGAGCAGUGGAGAGCCGGGGCCCUGCUGUCCUCGCACAGUGGAGGUACCAUGCCCUCACCGGUCAGGACACCAGACAUCGCCAGAAGCCCUGCAGCGCUGGCUGCGGCAACUCCCUGACACUCAGAGGAAAGCCCAGGCUGGGGGAGCAACACCUGUCCCUCACAGCCAUGCAUGCCCGCUGUUGCUCCAGGCCU